UACGUAGGGCGCAAGCGUUGUCCGGAAUUAUUGGGCGUAAAGAGCUCGUAGGCGGCUUGUCACGUCGGGUGUGAAAGCCCGGGCUUAACCCCGGGUCUGCAUUCGAUACGGGCAGGCUAGAGUGUGGUAGGGGAGAUCGGAAUUCCUGGUGUAGCGGUGAAAUGCGCAGAUAUCAGGAGGAACACCGGUGGCGAAGGCGGAUCUCUGGGCCAUUACUGACGCUGAGGAGCGAAAGCGUGGGAGCGAACAGG
rnacentral:rRNA from 1 species